UUAGAACAUAAGUCCACACUAAAAAUCCCCAAAGCUCUUAGAAACCGUAGAUCGUCUAGAAAAGCUUCCAGAGACCUAAAACCACCCAUCCGAGUUUCUGUGACCAGUAGAGGGUUAUUGUAGAGGGAAGUUGGACGCUAGGGAAGCCUGUGAAUGUUUUAUGCCUUUUGUAAAAUAUGUUUGUAAGAAUAAGGGUUCGUAAAUUCUUUUUGGAGGCUAGCUCCCGACCGAAAAACCUUAAGCUAUUUUCGUUGUAUUUACUCGAAUGAUUUCAUGUGAAAUAAAUAAAACUUGUUUUAUAUU